rnacentral:lncRNA from 1 species
UAUUGUCACCUUGUUUAUUUAACUUAUAUGCAGAGUACAUCAUGAGAAAUACUGGGCUGGAUGAAGCACUGGCUGGAAUCAAGAUUUCUGGGAGAAAGAUCAAUAACCUCAGAUAUGCAGAUCACACCACACUUCUGUCCGAAAGUGAAGAAGAACUAAAGAGCCUCUUGAUGAAAUCACAGAAACACUGGAUAGUACCAGUGAUUUUGGCAGAACCAGUAUUCCAAACUGGAAGAGGUUCUCUGUAUUUAAUUUCCUCUCCGGAAGUUUACCUUCAGAAGUCCAAGUGUGAGGUCAAUCCUUGGGUUGCCGGAAAUGUAAUGUCCUUUACUGUCUGAGCACCCAGACAGCACUUAAUGAAACAUCCUACUUUGCGGACAUUGCUGCUGCUGCUUCUGAAUUAUGAGGCUUGCCAUGCUUCACUUCUUCAGUGGAUAGCUUUAUUUCUGCAAAGUGCAUAGAAUGAAGUUGUAGCCUGCAGUCACUGAAAGACCUAAAUGAAUGUGUAAGAAUGACCACAAGGCACCAGGCG